rnacentral:lncRNA from 1 species
AGAGAGGAAGAGCAAAUGGAUACUGAGGGACUGUCUGCUGUAUGCAUCACCAUGCAGGUGCAUGUGUGUGCCUUGUGUGCACACGUGUCUGUCUGUGCAUGUACAAGUGCUAUGGACAUGUUUGCAUGUAUGUGUGUUUGUGCUUGUGCGAAUGUGUGUGUAUGCAUGUGUACACGUUUGUGUGCAUGUGUGUGAUGGGGGGGCAUUUGGAGGAGUAGCAGACAUCAAGACCGGAGAGAAGGAGGCAUUAUCAAAAAGACCAUCACACGGAGUUCCCGGCGUGGCACAGAGGAAACGAAUCCGAUUGGGAACCAUGAAGUUGCGGGUUUGGUCCCUGGCCUCGAUUAGCAAAACAGGUUUAUCUGGGAGCAGCAAAGAAUUGGAACUGUGGAAGACCACAUCCAAGUCCAGUAAAGGAGAGGAAACCUUAUAUAGAGAAGGGGAAGUCGGAAGGGGCUGUUAUAAACAAAAGGUCUAUUGGAGAAAGCUGGGAUUUUGAAGUAUAGCAGCUUUUCAUUGGCUGAGCUGUGACAAGCUCUCACUGGUUAAGCUGUUGCCAGUGGAGGAGAAAAUCUUUCUUCCUCCUGCUGAAGGCUGUAAAGUAGUUCACUUCCUGCUGGAGAUGCAAGGUAUGUCUCUUCCUAUGGGUUUGUGGUUUUGGUUGGGUUUGGGGUUUUGUUUGGGGUUUUUGGUUUUUGUGUUUGUUUCUUCCCGCUGGGAUCUGUAUUAAUGCCUAGUGGACUUUCAUAGAGUUCCCCCUUCUGGCCUCUGGCUCCACCUUAGGGAGGUUUUCCUUCAUUAAUUUUUCACUCUUUAAAUCCAAACCCAUGAUUUUAUAAUAUAGGAGGCAGGAUAGCAGAGAGGGUGGGCUUAGAUGUCACCCAGACCUGUGUCCAAAUCCUAGGCCGAGCCCUUUAUCAGCUGUGUGUCUUGGGUGAGUUACAAACCUCUCCUCGCCUUGGUUUUCUCACACAUAAAACGAGGCCAUGAAUAUUUCUUCCUUGUGGAAAAGGAGGGAGAGUUAGAUGAGAUAAUGCAUGGAAAUGGCUGAGCCUGUUCUGCAGCACAUAAGAAAUCCUCAGUAAGUGGAAUACUAUUCAGCCAUUAAAAAGAAUGAAAUAAUGUCACUCACAGCAACAUGGAUGCAACUAGAGAUUCUCAUACUAAGGAAAGUAAGUCAGAAAGAUAAAUACCAUAUGAUACCGCUUAUAUGUGCAAUCUAAAAUACAGCACAGGGAGUUCCCGUAGUGGUGCAGCAGAAACAAAUCCAACUAGGAACCAUGAGGUUACAGGUUCAAUCCCUGGCCUCGAUCAGUGGAUUAAGGAUCCAGCGUUGCCGAGAGCUGUGGUGUAGGUCACAGACACAGCUCAGAUCUGUGGCGUAGGCCGGCAGCCAUAGCUCUGAUUUGACCCCUAGCCUGGGAACCUCCAUAUGCCACGGGUGUGGCCCUAAAAAUCAAAAUAAAUAAACAAAUAAAUAAAUAAAAAUAAGAUAUGGCACAAAUGAACCUAUCUACAAAACAGAAACAGACUCACAGACGUAGAGCACAGACUCGUGGUUGCCAAGGUGGAGGGAAGGGGGAGGGGGACGGACUGGGAGUUCAGGGUUAGUGAAUGCAAACUAUUACAUUUAGAAUGGAUACACAAUGAGGUCCUGCUGUAUAGCACAGGGAACUGUAUCCAAUCUCUUGGGAUAGAUCAUAAUGGAAGAUAAUAUAAAAAGGGAAUGUAUAUGUAUGUAUGAGUGGGUCACUUUGCCAUAUAGCAGAAAUCAGCAUGUCGUGAAUUGACUAUAAUAUAAAAUAAAGUGGAGGAGUUCCCAUCGUGGUUCAGUGGUUAAUGAAUCCCACUAGGAACCAUGAGGUUGCAGGUUCGAUCCCUGGCCUUGCUCAGUGGGUUAAGGAUCCGGCAUUGCCGUGAGCUGUGGUGUAGGUCACAGACAUGGCUCGGAUCUGGCAUUCCUGUGGCUCUGGCCUAGGCCAGCCGCUACAGCUCCGAUUUGACCCCUAGCCUGGUAACCUCCAUAUGCCGCAGGAGCAGCCCUAGAAAAGACAAAAAGACCAAAAAUAAAUAAAUAAAUAAAAUAAAGUGAAGGUGGUCGGGCGGACUGUGUUCCCUCUACCAGGGCAAAGGUUAGUUGAUUGACUGACUGACCAUCUGAAUGAAUAUUGGUUGAUUCUGGAGCAGCUGUGAGAAGGCAAAGGGGAUGGAGAGUUGAUAGCAGUGGUUGAGGGAGCCCUGGGCUUGGGUUGAGAGACUUGGGUUCAGGUACUGAAUGUAAAACCGUACACCUCAGUUUGGAACUUGAACUCACGUGCUGGGACUCUAACCCAGCUAAGACUCAGAUCGGUACUUGAACCCAUGGGCCAGGACUCAAACCCGGCCAAAUCCCAGACUGGGACUUGAACUCAUUGGUUUUUUUUUUUGUUGUUUUUAAUUAAAUUCACACACCUAGUCCCGGGGACGUACUGAAGUGCCGUGGAUGUCUCAGCACAGAAAGAAUUCAGUGAGCGGCAAAGUGAUAGGGAAGAAGUAGCUUUACGGAGAGACAGAGUGUGGGCCAUCUCAAAGGCAAGAGGCCCUGAAAUGCAGGGUAGUGAGUUUUUCUGGGCUGGCGAUUUCAUAGGCUGAUGAGUGGGAGGAUUAAUUCAACUAUUUCUGGGAAGAGGAGGGGGUUUCCAGGAAUUGGGCCACCACUCACUUUUUGGCCUUCUGUCUCAGAACUGUCACGGUGCCUGUGGAUGCUGUGUCAUUCAGUAUAUGCCAGGGUAUUACAAUGAGCAUAUAACGAAACUCCAGGUCCACUGAAAGUCAAAUCAUAAACCACCUUGGACCUAGUUGGUUGUAAACAGUUCUUACCAUAUCCUGAAGGACUCUGUCAUUCUUUCAAGGUUUGUGCCCUGCCUCCUUCCCUCCCGUUUCAAAUGUGCAGGGUGAGAGGAAGGGGCUGAUGGGGGAAGAGCACAGAGAGAGUGACCAGGGCAGAGGCCCACAUGGUUCUGCAGUGAGAGGACAGGACCACCCAGGAGCUGGAGCUCCUUGGUGAGGGGUCAAGUGCCAGAGGUGGGGAGGUCCAGGCUAUGGAGUUCAGAGGUCACCAACUGGAAACCUGAGUGCAUGUCUGGUUUGGCCACUGCUGUGUUUAAAAUAACAGGAACCUUGGGGGUUUCCACCAUGGCACAGUGGGUUAGGAGUCCAACUUCAGCCGCUCUAGUAGCUGCUGAGGUGUGGGUUCAAUCCCCAGCCUGGGUGGUAGGUUGCAGGUGUGGCUCCGAUUCAAUUGGAUUCAGUCCCUGGCCCAGGAACUUUUAUAUGCCAUGUGUCAUUAUCUCUUCAUCAGGCGUGUUCUAGGCACCAGGAAAAUGAUAAUUAACAAGAGUAGGUUCUCGUCCUCCUUGACCUUAGGGGGAGUCAGACAAUGCAGUGAUCAUCACAGAGAGGGUUACACCAUCCCACACAGCAAUAAAGGCUGUUCGGAGAAAUACAGUUUCUAAGAAAACUAAGAGAAUGGGGGGGCUAAUUUAGACUGGGGAUCAGAGAGGAGUGGGAAGUCAAGUCCCCAUCUUCCUUUCAUUUUAAGAAUUUCUUUCCCUGUGCACUAACCCACUUGUUCUGUUGGCAUUAAAGCUCCUUGCUCCAGCCUGGGGACACAGAAACCAUUCAGUAAAUACUGGCUCCUGUUAUCAUUGUUUUUCCCCACAUCCUGCCACCUGUCAUUCACACCCUCCUCCAGAGGAGCAAAGGGCAAGUGUCCCUGCAGGCAGAGGGAAGGCUAAGUGCCCUGAUUUGUUGGCCUAGGCUUUUGUCACAAACCCUGAAGACUGAUGGCCAGGAAAGAAAGGAGGCAUCCUUUCUCUGGCUCCCACAGUGGGCUGAGUGUGGCGCCAGGGCCUUUACAGACAUGCCUUCACUAACGUGGCACCAUCCCCAUUUUACAGAUGGGGAAACCAAGACCCAGGGAGACCAGGGCAAAGCAGAGAUAAAAACCUAGAAGAUCUUGGCUUUGAAAUGCACGUUCUUCGCGCCACACAGCAAGCUGUCAGAAGAAACACAGUGGCUGGUGGUAGGAAAAACAAAAUCAGACCAACAAAAAAAAGAAAACCACUGAGGAGUUCCCGUCGUGGCUCAGUGGUUAACGAAUCCGACUAGGAACCAUGAAGUUGCAGGUUCGAUCCCUGGCCUUGCUCAGUGGGUUAAGGAUCCGGUGUUGCCGUGAGCUGUGGUAUAGGUCGCAGACGCGGCUCGGAUCCCACGUUGCUGUGGCUCUGGCGUAGGCCAACAGCUACAGCUCUGAUUAGACCCCUAGCCUGGGAACCUCCACAUGCCACGGGAGCGGCCUAAAAAUGGCAAAAAGACAAAAAAAGAAAAAAAAA